UACAGAUACAAUUGCAAGGAGAGCCUGUCGGCUCAAGUGUCGUCCCUUUGAUUUACAGUUGCAAUAGCAGGAGCUGCAUGAAUUUCAAAUGAUGUGAUCAUAUCCUACCAAUUCCUUGGGCUCCAGCGAGAGUGAACCCUGGGUAGAUCAUUUGCGGUGUCUUACAAUGAUGAACACACCAGGUUGUAAGAGAUGUGGAGUGUCACGCUAAGGGCUUCUGACCUGUCAUCCUGCCCUCAAUCAACCAUAAUCACCUCUACCAUGGAAUUGUGCUAAAUGCUGGGGGCAAAAAUACAAGCAAAAAAAGAAAGAAAAGACCAACCUUCCAGGAGCUUAC
rnacentral:lncRNA from 1 species